rnacentral:rRNA from 1 species
CCUACGGGUGGCAGCAGUAGGGAAUCUUCCACAAUGGGCGAAAGCCUGAUGGAGCAAAGCCGCGUGAAUGAAGAAGGUCUUCGGAGCGUAAAACCCUGUUGUUAGAGAAGAAAGUGCGUGAGAGUAACUGUUCACGUUUCGACGGUAUCUAACCAGAAAGCCACGGCUAACUACGUGCCAGCAGCUGAGGUAAUAGGUAGGUGGCAAGCGUUAUCCGGAUUUAUUGGGCGUAAAGGGAGCGCAGGCGGUCUUUUAAGUCUGAUGUGAAAGCCUUCGGCUUAACCGUAGUAGUGCAUUGGAUACUGGCAGACUUGAGUGCAGAUGAGGUGGGUGGAACUCCAUGUGUAGCGGUGAAAUGCGUAGAUAUAUGGAAGAACACCAGUGGCGAAGGCGGCUCACUGGUCUGUCACUGACGCUGAGGUUCGAAAGCGUGGGUAGCAAACAGGAUUAGAUACCCUUGUAGUC